rnacentral:rRNA from 1 species
GACGAACGCUGGCGGCGUGCUUAACACAUGCAAGUCGAACGGAAAGGCCCUGCUUUUGUGGGGUGCUCGAGUGGCGAACGGGUGAGUAACACGUGAGUAACCUGCCCUUGACUUUGGGAUAACUUCAGGAAACUGGGGCUAAUACCGGAUAGGAGCUCCUGCUGCAUGGGGGGUGUUGGAAAGUUUCGGCGGAUGGGGAUGGACUCGCGGCUUAUCAGCUUGUUGGUGGGGUAGUGGCUUACCAAGGCUUUGACGGGUAGCCGGCCUGAGAGGGUGACCGGCCCCAUUGGGACUGAGAUACGGCGCAGACUCGUACGGGAGGCAGCAGUGGGGAAUAUUGCACAAUGGGCGGAAGCCUGAUGCAGAAACGCCGCGUGCGGGAUGCCGGCCUUCGGGUUGUAAACCGCUUUCGCAUGAGCCGAAGCGUGCGUGACGGUAAUGGGUAAAGAAGCACCGGCUAACUACGUG